rnacentral:tRNA from 1 species
GCGGAUGUAGCUCAGCUGGAUAGAGUACCUGGCUACGAACCAGGCGGUCGGAGGUUCGACUCCUUCCACGCGCACCA